GCAUACUUGAAGAUCAGAAAACAAACAACAAUUGUGUUUUCAAGAAGUAAAACUGGAACUGUACAGGCAUGUACAAAUUAGGAGAUGCAAUUAAAAAGCUCCAUUUUUUUUUGGCUAAUCUUAUCUAACUUAGCUUCAACCCCUGCACCACAAUGACUCGGUCGGGUUCUUCUAAAUCAGGAAAGGUGAUAAAGUAAUCCACCUGCAUUUCUAAAUCUAGCGAGACCAAUUACUUUAUCUUUAGUAUGAUUCAAUCCCCCAAUGGAAGCAUUGAUCAUCUACCUUAUAUGAGUAUCAUAGUGAUCAAAAACAUUAUCUGGCACGAUCAAGGGUAGCUUAUCUAUAAACAUGAAUAGCCGCCUCAGAUUCUCCCUUGUUAUCAUUGACAUGUCCACGAUGUCUUUGUUGUCCAUGUAUACCCACAGAUCACUGGAGUUAACCCUUUUAAGGCUAUCGCGGCAAAAAGGGCAGGAUUGUGACCUUGAACGCCAUUCACGAUAGCAUUUCAAACACAGGGCGUGAUUGCAUUUGGGAAGGACAAUUUUGCUGUUCAUUUCCAUGCAGAUUCCACAUUCCUCUUCCCUUUCAAUGUCAGAGUCAGAAGAUUGUCUGUAAUCCUCAUCAUCU
rnacentral:misc_RNA from 1 species